UACGGAGGGUGCAAGCGUUGUUCGGAAUUACUGGGCGUAAAGCGCGCGUAGGCGGUUUGUUAAGUCAGAUGUGAAAGCCCAUGGCUCAACCAUGGACGUGCAUUUGAAACUGGCAGACUUGAGUAUGGCAGAGGGUGGUGGAAUUUCCUGUGUAGCGGUGAAAUGCGUAGAUAUAGGAAGGAACACCAGUGGCGAAGGCGACCACCUGGCCAAAUACUGACGCUGAGGUGCGAAAGCGUGGGGAGCAAACAGG
rnacentral:rRNA from 1 species